AUGAUCGGCUACCUCGACAUCGACAUUAAUGGCUACGUCUACAACAACUCAUCGGCGACAACUCCAGUCAACAGUGUCCGCGUCGUCACUAGCGUCCACGCCACUCCUGCCGUGACUGCGGGAGGGAAGAGAGGAGAGACAAGGAAGGCACCAGAAGGGGACACAGUCACCGCCCUAGGUGUCGACCCAUCAGAGACGCAGUUGAUGAUGGCGCAGUGGAGAAGACGACGAAAGCGCAAGACUACAAAUUCAGUCGCAAUCGUCCGCUUCACUCCCGCUACGACUGAGGGGGGAUAUUAG
rnacentral:rRNA from 1 species